rnacentral:rRNA from 1 species
UACGGGGGGGGCAAGCGUUGUUCGGAAUUACUGGGCGUAAAGGGCUCGUAGGCGGCCAACUAAGUCGGACGUGAAAUCCCUCGGCUUAACCUGGGAACUGCGUCGGAUACUGGAUGGCUUGAAUCCGGGAGAGGGAUGCGGAAUUCCAGGUGUAGCGGUGAAAUGCGUAGAUAUCUGGAGGAACACCGGUGGCGAAGGCGGCAUCCUGGACCGGCAUUGACGCUAAAGCGCGAAAGCCAGGGGAGCAAACGGG